rnacentral:tRNA from 1 species
CGCGGGGUAGAGCAGUGGUAGCUCGUCAGGCUCAUAAUCUGAAGGUCGGUGGUUCGAUCCCACCCCCCGCCACCA